GUGCCAGCCGCCGCGGUAAUACGGAGGGGGCGAGCGUUAUUCGGAAUUAUUGGGCGUAAAGGGCGCGUAGGCGGCCCUGCAAGUCAAAGGUGAAAUCCCUCGGCUCAACUGAGGAACUGCCUUUGAAACUGCGGGGCUUGAGGCCGGGAGGGGGUAGCGGAAUUCCCAGUGUAGCGGUGAAAUGCGUAGAUAUUGGGAGGAACACCAGUGGCGAAGGCGGCUACCUGGACCGGUUCUGACGCUGAUGCGCGAAAGCGUGGGGAGCAAACAGGAUUAGAUACCCCGGUAGUCC
rnacentral:rRNA from 1 species